GGGGAAAGCCGGCAGUCCCAGGCCUCACCCAGCUCCCACACAAUCUGAAGGGCCGGUCUCACUCCCACCAUGACCUCCACCCAACAGCACUGAGUCUGUUUCCACGUAGUGGGUGAGCAGGUCUGAGAACUUGCCCCAGGCUACCCACCUCCCAGCUGUGAAAGCAAAUAUGGCUUUUUUUUCUUCUCCCACCUGUGGAGUCUGCACACCAGAUUCAUGCCCUCCCUCGAGUUCUGGCUAGGAGGCUUCUCAGUCACUUCAAAUUGUUACAAAGUUCAGCUGGAGAUUUCCUUCUCCCUGUAGCCUUUCCCAAUGCCUCUGUCUGCCCUCCCAAAAGACCUCUGUGAGGCCAGGCAAAAACGGCUUGUUAGGGGACCCAGUGAGCUCCCAGUGCUUUUCCUGCUGCUUCUCCUAACACUGUAUGUUUCUUGGCUCUCUAAACUCACUCAGCUCCAGAGCUAUAGUAAGCAAAACAACUGAAGAGAUGAGGGGACAACCAGCUGCAGAGAGGAGCCACCCUGUCUGCUGAGAGCUGAACACUCAUUGGGACACCCUGGCUAUGAAGAGGAGCUACCCACUGCCCACUGCUGGUCUCCUCUGAGCUGUUCUAUUGCUCAAUAAAACUCUUUGUCUUGCUUACCCUCCA
rnacentral:lncRNA from 1 species